rnacentral:rRNA from 1 species
AACGAACGCUGGCGGCAGGCCUAACACAUGCAAGUCGAGCGAGGUAGCAAUACCUAGCGGCGGACGGGUGAGUAACGCGUGGGAACGUGCCCCUUGGUUCGGAAUAGCUCCUGGAAACGGGUGGUAAUGCCGAAUGUGCCCUUCGGGGGAAAGAUUUAUCGCCUUUAGAGCGGCCCGCGUCUGAUUAGCUAGUUGGUGAGGUAAAGGCUCACCAAGGCGACGAUCAGUAGCUGGUCUGAGAGGAUGACCAGCCACAUUGGGACUGAGACACGGCCCAAACUCCUACGGGAGGCAGCAGUGGGGAAUCUUGCGCAAUGGGCGAAAGCCUGACGCAGCCAUGCCGCGUGAAUGAUGAAGGUCUUAGGAUCGUAAAAUUCUUUCACCGGGGACGAUAAUGACGGUACCCGGAGAAGAAGCCCCGGCUAACUUCGUGCCAGCAGCCGCCGUAACAC